GACGAACGCUGGCGGCGUGCCUAAUACAUGCAAGUAGAACGCAGUUGCGAACGGGUGAGUAACGCGUAGGUAACUGCCUCAUAGCGGGGGAUAACUAUUGGAAACGAUAGCUAAUACCGCAUACUGUGAGAUGGACCUGCGUUGUAUUGGGUAGUUGGUGAGGUAAAGGCUCACCAAGGCGACGAUACAUAGCCGGCCUUGGGGGGUGAACGGGCAAACUGGGAACGGGACAACGCCCAAACUCCUUCCGGGAGCAGCAAUAGGGAAACUUCGGCAAUGGACGGAAAUCCGACCGAGCAAAGGCGCGUGGGUGAAGGAGGUUUUCGGGUCGUAAAGCUCUGUUGUGAGGGAAGCGGUAACUAACCAGAAAGGGACGGCUAACUACGUGCCAGCAGCCGCGGUAAUAC
rnacentral:rRNA from 1 species